UCAGGACGAACGCUGGCGGCGUGCCUAACACAUGCAAGUCGAGCGGGGACAUUGCGACAGAUAUGAAGUCUUCGGAUGAAUUUGAAGAUGUAAUGUCUAGCGGCGGACGGGUGAGUAACGCGUGAGCAACCUGUCCCUUACAGGGGGAUAACACAGCGAAAGUUGUACUAAUACCGCAUAAGACCACAGAGUGACAUCGCUUAGGGGUCAAAGGAGCAAUCCGGUAAGGGGUGGGCUCGCGUCCGAUUAGAUAGUUGGUGAGGUAACGGCCCACCAAGUCGACGAUCGGUAGCCGACCUGAGAGGGUGAUCGGCCACAUUGGGACUGAGACACGGCCCAAACUCCUACGGGAGGCAGCAGUGGGGAAUAUUGGGCAAUGGGGGGAAACCCUGACCCAGCAACGCCGCGUGAGGGAAGAAGGUUUUCGGAUCGUAAACCUCUGUCCUUGGUGAAGAGAAAGAGACGGUAGCCAAGGAGGAAGCCCCGGCUAACUACGUGCCAGCCGCCGC
rnacentral:rRNA from 1 species